CCUACGGGAGGCAGCAGUGAGGAAUAUUGGUCAAUGGUCGGGAGACUGAACCAGCCAAGCCGCGUGAGGGAGGAAGGUACAGAGUAUCGUAAACCUCUUUUGUCAGGGAACAAAGACUGGGACGCGUCCCCGGAUGAGUGUAACUGCAGAAAAAGCAUCGGCUCACGCCGUGCCAGCAGCCGCGGUAAUACGGGGGAUGCGAGCGGUCUCCGGGUUUCUUGGGUUUAAGGGGUGCGCAGGCGGUCUGUUAAGUCAGGGGUCAAAGCCCGGGGCUCAACCCCGGCCCGCCGUUGAAACUGGCAGUCUCGAGUUGGAGAGAAGUAUGCGGAAUGCGCGGUGUAGCGGUGAAAUGCAUAGAUAUCGCGCAGAACUCCGAUUGCGAAGGCAGCAUGCCGGCUCCACACUGACGCUGAGGCACGAAAGCGUGGGUAUCGAACAGGAUUAGAUACCCCAGUAGUC
rnacentral:rRNA from 1 species